rnacentral:rRNA from 1 species
UUUUAUCAGAGAGUUUGAUCCUGGCUCAGGAUGAACGCUGGCGGCGUGCUUAACACAUGCAAGUCGAACGGGAAUUACUUUAUUGAAACUUCGGUCGAUAUGAUUUAAUUCUAGUGGCGGACGGGUGAGUAACGCGUGGGUAACCUGCCUUAUACAGGGGGAUAACAGUCAGAAAUGACUGCUAAUACCGCAUAAGCGCACAG